rnacentral:rRNA from 1 species
AGAACCUUACCUAGGCUUGACAUGCAGGGAAAUCUCGUAGAGAUACGGGGUCCGUAAGGGCCUUGCACAGGUGGUGCAUGGCUGUCGUCAGCUCGUGUCGUGAGAUGUUGGGUUAAGUCCCGCAAGGAGCGCAACCCUCGUUCUAUGUUGCCAGCGAGUAAUGUCGGGGACUCAUAGGAGACUGCCGGGGUCAACUCGGAGGAAGGUGGGGAUGGCGUCAAGUCAUCAUGCCCCUUAUGUCUAGGGCUGCACACAUGCUACAAUGGCCGGUACAAAGGGCUGCGAUACCGCAAGGUGGAGCGAAUCCCAUAAAGCCGGUCUCAGUUCGGAUUGAGGUCUGCAACUCUACCUCAUGAAGUCGGAGUCGCUAGUAAUCGCAGAUCAGCAACGCUGCGGUGAAUACGUUCCCGGGCCUUGUCACACCGA